rnacentral:rRNA from 1 species
AGCAGCCGCGGUAAUUCCAGCUCCAAUAGCGUAUAUUAAAGUUGCUGCAGUUAAAAAGCUCGUAGUUGAAUUUCGGGAUCGAUAUAUCGGUCGUGCCUCGGUACGUACUGGUAUUUUCGGUUUCUACCUUCUGACGAACCUUGAUGUCAUUAAUUUGGUGUCUUGGGGAAUCAGGACUGUUACUUUGAAAAAAUUAGAGUAGUUUAAAGCAGGACUCACGCUUGAAUACAUUAGCAUGGAAUAAUGAAAUAGGACGUUUGAUUCUAUUUUGUUGGUUUCUAGGAUCGACGUAAUGAUUAAUAGGGAUAGUUGGGGGCAUUAGUAUUCAAUUGUCAGAGGCGAAAUUCUUGGAUUUUAUUGAAGACUAACUACUGCGAAAGCAUUUGCCAAGGAUGUUUUCAUUAAUCAAGAACGAAAGUUAGGGGAUCGAAGACGAUCAGAUACCGUCGUAGUCUUAACCAUAAACUAUGCCGACUAGGGAUCGGAUGAUGUUAAUUUUUAAUGUACUCAUUCGGCGCCU